UGACAAUUCUCAUUCAUGAAAUUUUACAAUGCUGUGAUAUAAUAAUAAAAGUUUUUCUUAAUUGCAUUUUACUGCUAAAAGACAUUUGUGCAUUUUGUGAGCUUUUAGAAGGCAGCAUUCUGCUUCUUUAUUGAUACUGUAAAUUGACACAUUAUAUUUUCUCAGUACAUUACAAGUAUUUCCCAAAAUAAUAAGAUAAUAGACUAGGUAAUUAUUAUCCAGCACGCUGAGAUGUAUAUGUGUAACUAUACCCACAACCAUAGGCAUUUUAAGCAAGAAAGAAUGAAUUAAAAAUGCUACACUAUUAUCUUUUUUAGUUUAUAGAGAUUGAAAACUACUUCAAUUAACAGAUUAAAUUUGUUAAAGAAAUUUUGUAUGUUUUGCAGUAUACAGUUACAUUGUUACCUGCUUCUAUUCAAGCUAAAAUAUUAAAAAUAUCCCAUAAUAAUAUGUAAAAUAUAAAUAUUUCUAUGUAUUUUUAACUUUUCUUUUUCCUGUCAAAUUUUAUACAUUUUCUUAAAACUCAUUUUAAAUCAGAAAUAUUACAGCUCAAGUAAAAUCAUCACAUGCACAAUUCCUGAGCCAAGGACAAUUCUCACAUACAUUCUCUGAAUCUAAUUUUGAUCUUUUUGAGAUGCUUGUAGCAUAUGUACUUUUUCUUAAACACACUUACAAGUUCUUGUAUCAGUAUAAUUUUGUAAAUAUCCUUGCAUUUUUAUUAAAUUAAUGAAAAAUGUCUACCUAAAUAUUUCUAGGACUAUAAACACUCAGAAGCAUUGAUUUAUUGAAGUCACAUUUUUCCUCACAUAUUUCAUAAAGCAAUUUUGAAACUAGAAACUAGAACAAUGAAUUUGUAAGCUCAGGCUUAAUUUGUGCUUCAAUGUAGAGAAAAAAUUUUGACCAAAGGGAAGCAGUGAAGCUCUUCCAUAUCACAAGGAAAAUAACCAACAAAAUGUAUCUCUUUUUAAUUUGGUUCCAUGGUACAGCAAAAAUGCAAGUUUUUUUCCCAACUUCUUUUGUUCCACUUUUAUAACAAUUAUGGUAAAUCUAAUAGGAAAAAAGGCUCCCUCCCCAUAUAAGCUGAAAAAGCCUGAAAGUCUUAUUAACUGGAAGCAUUUAUGGACACUUAGGUAAUGUUUCAGAACUUAUCUUUCACUAGGCUAACCAAUGUUUUUUUGCUUAAUGAAUAUAUUUGUCCAGAAGUGACGCCAGUUGUGCAAUCUGGAUUUCCUAGACAAUAUGUUAGGUGAUAACAGAACUUUCUCUUUCUUCUAGCAGGAGGAAGUUGCAAUUGAACUCAUCUUCCCAGAGCCCAGAGUGGUUUUCUCGCUCCCGUAAGAGGUAGCUGCUACUUAUCAAAGGUUCCAGCUCUCUAGAUGCUACAAACACGAAGUUAUUUCAAUAAUACAUAUCUAAACCAGACUGCAAGGCUAACAUCAAAAAAGGUAUUUCCUGGAUUUUCUUUUAUGAUUUUUAUAUUGUGAGAUCUUAAUGUCUUUAAUCCAUCUUGAGUCAACUUUUGUGUGUUGUGAUUGGUAGGGGUCCAAACUCAUUCUUCUGCAUAUGGAUAGCCAGUUAUCCCAGUACCAUAUGUUGAAUAAGGAAUCUUCUCAUUGCUUAUUUUUCUUAGCUUUGUUGAAAAUCAGAUGAUUGUAGGUGUGUGGCUUUAUUUCUGGGUGUCUUUAUUCUGUUCCGUUGGUGUAUGUGUCUGUUUUUCUACCAGUAGCAUGAUAUUUUGGUUAUUGUAGCCUUGUAGCACAGUCCCAAGUUGGGGAAUGUGAUGCCUUCAGCUUUGUUUUUUUUGCUUAGGAUUG
rnacentral:lncRNA from 1 species